UACAGAGGGUGCAAGCGUUGUUCGGAAUUAUUGGGCGUAAAGCGCGUGUAGGCGGCUUUGCAAGUCGGGUGUGAAAGCCCUCGGCUCAACCGAGGAAGUGCGCCCGAAACUGCAGAGCUUGAGUACCGGAGAGGAUGGCGGAAUUCCCCAAGUAGAGGUGAAAUUCGUAGAUAUGGGGAGGAACACCGGUGGCGAAGGCGGCCAUCUGGACGGAUACUGACGCUGAGACGCGAAAGCGUGGGUAGCAAACAGGAUUAGAUACCAG
rnacentral:rRNA from 1 species